rnacentral:rRNA from 1 species
AACGAACGCUGGCGGCAUGCCUAACACAUGCCAGUCGAACGAGACCUUCGGGUCUAGUGGCGCACGGGUGCGUAACGCGUGGGAACCUGCCCUUAGGUUCGGAAUAACUCCCCGAAAGGGGUGCUAAUACCGGAUAAUGUCUUCGGACCAAAGAUUUAUCGCCUUUGGAUGGGCCCGCGUUGGAUUAGCUAGUUGGUAGGGUAAAAGCCUACCAAGGCGACGAUCCAUAGCUGGUCUGAGAGGAUGAUCAGCCACACUGGGACUGAGACACGGCCCAGACUCCUACGGGAGGCAGCAGUGGGGAAUAUUGCACAGUGGGCGAAAGCCUGAUCCAGCAAUGCCGCGUGAGUGAUGAAGGCCUUAGGGUUGUAAAGCUCUUUUACCCGGGAUGAUAAUGACAGUACCGGGAGAAUAAGCUCCGGCUAACUCCGUG